rnacentral:lncRNA from 1 species
UUGGAGAUCAUUAGAAAGAACACUAAACAUGAUCAUAUCUCUGCUUUUUCCUUUCAUGACCAAAUACUUCCUAAGAGUUCCCUCCUUUUGGAAACCAGCUUUCUCCAAAACCCUUUGAGACCCAACAUUUUCCACAUCAACAAGAGCUUCAAGCCUUUCCAAGUACGAAAAUUCAUCGAAUGCAAUCUUAACAAUUUGUUUCACAGCACAUGUGACAAUCCCUUUACCCCAAUAUUUAGAGCUUAGAUUAUAGCCAAGUUCUGCAGAUUGUUUCCUGCUUUUAUCUUCAGGUGUGAACAAAAGAACACAGCCAAUAGCACGAUCAUUAAUGCAUAUUGCUUUGCAACAAAGAAACUUGCUUUCUAUACUUUCUAUGAAGUUGAUGCCAUCUUCUCUGCUGGUGUAAGGUUCCCAAGAGCAGAACUUGGCCACCUUUUCAUCAGUAUGCCACACCAUUACAUCAUCAAGGUCAGAAAGAUUAAAGGAUCGGAGUGUGAUUUGGUUCAAAUCAAUGAUUUCUUCUUUGCCACAUGGUUUUGAAGAAAUAAAAGUUUCCUCCAUCACAGAAUUACUUUUGUUUCUUUUAUGAGUUAUUUUGAGGCUAUUUAUAAAGUCAUGGAGUUGAAAAAAGAAAAACUAGAAUGAAAGGAAGUUACAUGGAACAUGGAACAUGGGAUCAAGCAAGAAAAGGGUAUUAAGGGGAUUCCAAGAUUGCUUUCUGUCGGUGUGUGUCUACCAUGUUUGACUUGACUUGACUAUGUGUUUAAUGGGAUCCAAAUCAAUGUUAAAAAAAUAGGGUUAAAUAGUGAAACAUUAUCAUAUGAUUUUGAUUCCAAUACAAUAUAAUUGAUUUGGUCAGUUAAAUAAAUGAAUUGAAUUAGUUUAACCAAGUAACAUCCCAAAUGAACAAUGCACUUAAAACAUUCAAAUAUAUACCCCUGUCUCUAAAUUUUUGAGUCAAUCCUUAAUUAGUUGAUGAACUGGAAUGGAACAUCCACAAAUUCAACAACAAUAGAAAUGAAAUUACAAAUUGAGUACAACUUCUUCUUAAAUUCUACCAUAACCUCCUGACUAGCAACGGAGAAACACAUCAUCAUCUCCAAUAUCAUGCCAUUUUCAAUAAAAAAUUUAGCCAAAAAUAGAUCAUGAUCGUCUCCAAUAACUUCUUUAAAUUUCACAACAUAGAGAGAAGCCAAACAUUCGGGCACAACAGCCGAACUUAGACGGUCUUCUGAAACAUUAAAGAAAGUCCGAGUAAGACUCUUAGAGCAAAGAAAUUAGAUAAAAAACAGUAAGACGAUGAAAUAAGUCACAAUUAGGACCUUGUGAAGUUUUUGUAUGAUAUGAAAAAUGUAUCAUGACGGACUAAAGAGUGUUAUCAGUCUCUGAUGUCUUCUGAGAAAGAUACCGGGGGAGAUGAUAGUUCGACGAGACUGGGAGAAAGAAGAGGGGGUUUUAUGAGGUUAGGGUUUAUCUUUAGAGAAUUAGAUAUGUGUAACUAUAUAUCUAUAAUUAAACAGGGAACUUCUAUUGUACCGAAAUAGUAUCACACGCGUGAUAGAUAACAGUUUAACGGUUUAGUCCUCGAUUCCAUCCGGGGUUGAUGUGUAUAAAAUAAUUUACGUCCUCUAAACAUCCUUUCUGCCUAAUAAACCAUCCCCGCGAAACCAUUUUAAUAUGCGACACUAUGCCGCUUACAUUCAUUGAGUUUCCUUCAAAGAUAAUUUGAUUUCUACCUAGAAAAAUGCAUUAGAUUGUAUCCAUCCAUACACGAUAAAUGUGAGAAUUUCCUACCUUUCUUACCACCUUUGAUACCACAAUGUUGCAAAAAUUGAGAGCACGGGUUCUGGUCUUGAACGAGUCUCAUGCCAAGCCAUCCAUGAAAUAAGGGUAUCUUGCGAAGCUUUGAAAUGACAUUAAGUUUUGUUGUCAAUUAUGAUAAAAUUAACGUGAAUGCACUGAACAUAUGCGAAUUUGUGGUAAAAGCAUCAACAACUUUUCUUGGAUGCCCUAUAAGGUACAAUUCCCUUUAAGUUCUUGGGAAUACCUGUUGGCGCAAACCCAAGAAGAUUAUUGACUUAGGAACCCGUAAUUAGUUCAUUCAAGUCUAGAUUGUCGUCUUUUAAAGGAAGAUUAUUGUCAAUUGGAGGUCGAGCGACAUUGAUCAGUUCCGACGUCUCAUCUUCACUGCCUCUUUAUUUCUUCUCCUUCUUUAAAGAUCCUAAGAAAGUCAUAUAUUUGCUAACAAAGAUGCAGAGAAGAUUCCUAUGGCAAGGAGAUGAGGAAAUUAUGAAAACAUCAUGGGUUUGUUGGAAUAAAAUCUGUUAGGACAAAAAAGAGGGAGAUUUAGGAAUAAAAAACUUUGAAUUGUUCAAUCUCGGAUUGAUAUUUUUUUUUAUUUUUUUAAAACUCGAUAUCCGAUCCAAGGACCGACUAAUCCGAGGGGACCAAUCACACUGUCCACUUGCGAGGGCUUGUUCUAAGCCGGAGCAAGCUAUGUAUGAAUUUGUCCACCGAAAUUGGCACCAAGUGGGAAUCGAACCUGAGACUUUGAGAGGAGCAAACUCUAAAAUCUCAAGCCAACCACUGGGCCAACCCCAAAUGGAUCUCGUAUUGAUAUUAAAAUGGUGUUGGAUGAUGCUUAAUGCAAACAAAUUCUCAAUUUCAUGUACGACAAGAUUAAGAAUUGGGUAAUUGCUGAACAAAUAAGUUUUGAUACGAAGAAUUAAGGUUUCUGACCCUGAAACUUUUACUCUAACAUAUGUACUCUCUGGAGGGGGUGGUGACCAUAAGAUCAUCAAGGUAAAUAAAAAAAGGUGUCAUUUUUUUUUUGGUCAAGUAGUUUAGUGACUAGAGAAAUUCACCUUUAAGAUGAAUAAGUGGGAUGUCUGAGGUUCGAACCCCAACCCCUGCACAUAUUGUGCAUUGUCCCUUACCGAAUGAGCUAUGCUCAUGGGGACAGGUGUCCCUUUUUUUAGGUGUAACGAAGUAUUAGAUUCAAAGACAUUCAUCCUAACAAUAUUGAUCGACAUAGUUAGUUAAAUUAAAUUUACCAACGGUAUUGCUUUUAUUAUAGGUAUGGACAGACCCAGCCUUGAGGGAGUACAAGGUGUUCAACCAAGCCAGACCUCCAAAAGCAAUAACUUUCAAAAAAAUAAUUAAGUCUAAUACCCACCCCCACUUUAAUAAAAAAAAAAAACAAAUGUUACUUCUUUUUCUUUCUUUACAUGUUUGAGUUUUUUUUCUUCUAGACUAUAGUUCUCUUUUCUAUAUAUAAAUUUGAUGCUAUUAAAUCACACCCAAUUUGUAUAAUCACUUAAUCAGUCAAUUUAGAAAGCUAUUGAAAGAAUCACAAUAAUCAUUUCUUUUUCGCAUAAACCAUUCGUUUUCUCCUUUCCCACAACAGACGAGUGAAGAGUCCAAACGACAACAUUUCACCUCUCUUUCACUUAAUAUUUUUUUUAAUUUCGUUUCAUGUUUAGAAGUUUUUCUAAUUCUGAUUUUCCAAUGCAACUUAGUUACACAAAAAACUUGCAUUUUUGUUUUACUAGAGGUCUAUUUUAAAAAGAGAGCCGAACCUCCUAUUUCAUAGGAACGACCCUCAGUAUAGAUAACCAAUUUUGCGGUCUCACAUGAAAUAAAAUAAUGUCAAAAAAAAUUGUGUCUCCUUUUUAUUAGAUGGGUUUAUAGACUAUAUUAUUUUUUGGGAAUUGUUAACCAGUGCCCCAUGCCCGGGGCACUAGUUAAGGAAUUAUAAAAGAAAUUAGGCUUAAUUGUACUUUUGGAUCCCUAUCUUUUCAAAAGUUGCGGUUAUGGACCCAUAACUAAUUUAAAUACAAAACAGCCCCCUAUGUUUUGAUUCUUUGGCAGUUUUGGCCCCCCAGGGUAAAAUAAAAAUAAAAAAUUUGACAUGUGGCACCUCACUUAGUGUGCCACGUCAGCGUUAACCGAGUCAACACUGGACUGGGGGUUCAAAACUGCCAAAGAAUCAAAACAUAGGGGACUGUUUUGUAUUUAAAUUAGUUAGGGGUCCAAAAGUGCAAUUAAGCCAAGAAAAUAUUGUAUUGGAAAUUGUGUAUUUUACUUUUUUAAAGUUAAAAAAAUGUUCUUUUCAAUGCAAAACUUGAUUUUUUUUCUACUUUUAGUUCCUUAACUAGUGUCCCAGAAGCACCGGUUGACAAGACCCUUAUUUUAUUUUAUUUUUAACUUAUUUUAUCGUUUUUUGACGAAACUAGAGCUUGUUGACUUAUUUGUGUAAAACAUCUAUAAUAUUUGAAAAAAGCUUUUGAUUGAUUUGAUGAAAAAAAAUACUACUCAAACUUUUUUAAAGAUCAAAUAUUACGUGAUAGUUUAAGUUAUAUGUUUAGAACAAGUUAGUUUUUUAAGUUUUUUUUUAUAUUAUAAAUUGGUCCUUUAAAUCAUAAAAUAUUUGAAUCAUUAUCUUGUUUUCAUCAAACUCGAUUAAAAAUUGUUUAUGUGGGCGUUUAAUGUUAAAUUUGUAUGUCCACCACACUCAAAACUAGGAUCAUUAUUUAGUUGAUUUAAAACAAAAUUAAUUGUUCACUUGAUUUAUAAUAUUGUUGAUGAAAUAUUUAUCUGUAAAAUUAGCUUUGAAUUAAAAACAAGAAGAAAAUAUGCAUAAGUAGUCAUUCAUUGACUUUUGUUGGUAUUUGGAAUGAGACAUAAUGUUUUGAUUAAGGCUUUUGAAUGCUUGAGUAUUUUGAUUAAAAGUCAUAUUUUGAUUUAUGAAUGUAUCAUGAGUUUUGAGUUAUUUUUUUUACUUUUAUAUCAAGUUUGUUUAGACUUUAUAUUAUUCAUGUAAUUUGUCCAAAAAAUGAUCAAUCUUGACAAUCCGCUAUUCCACUUUAGAGGCCAGCCGCUCCACGCCUCUAUCCAUGAUUGAAUACUUAGUGACUCAUACUAAAUUUUACAUUGGAUGUAAUGCAUCCUUACAAAACAGUCUUGUAGGAUAAGAAUUAUCCACCACUUAUAAACAUUUUUAUUAGGUCUUGUCUUUAUCAAUCUUGGACUCGGAUUUUUCCAUUUAAAAAGCAAGAAAUCACGGUUACCGGUCCAAGGACGACUACUCAAGUAUUUCCAUUAAGUAUAUCUUUCUAUAAAAUUAAACAGUUGUAAAAAUGAUCAUCAGUACUGCUUUAAUUAAUAAAAUCCCCCACUUUCAAUUUUUUUUAUUAUAUAUACAAAAAUUUAAACAUAACCUAAACACAUCAAUAACUUUUAAGAAAACAAUGUUAAAUUGUAAAUACAUAAUACUCUAUAUCAAAGAGCAAGGAAUGGAAUAUUAGUAGAAAGAAAAAAUUAUUUAUGAAACGGAGGUGUCCACAUUCAUAAAAGAAAAAUAGAAUAUAGGCUUAAAUAGGUAAAUUGUCUAUGUAAAUUUGUGUGUUUUUUUGUUUUUAUUCAUGUAUCUUUUUUAUUCUAAAACAAACUAUGUAAGUUAUAUACAUUUUGGUUUUGGCCCAUGUCGGCAUCAUCUGCUACAAAAAUGAGUAUGUGAUAGAGGAUGAUGUGACGACGUGUGACAUGGAAGAAAACGCUGAUGUGUCGUUCCAGAUGCUGAAUCAGAAAGUUAGAGAGACCAAAUCCAAAAAUUAAAAUUUGUAGAGGGUCAAAAACUAAAAAACGAGAAGACAAAAAAUCUAGAAAAAAAUCCAAAAAUUCUUCAUCUUCUUUCUUCUAUUUCUUCUUCAUCAAUUUCAUCAACAUUCAUAAAAAAAAAUAAAAAAAAUUCAAAAACAACAAUCAUUAACAACAUCAUCAUCAUCAUUAUCGAAUCACUACACCACCGCCAUCAACAACACCUAAUCUCAUCAUCAAAAUCAUUAUAAAAUUCAACAUACAUAAAAUCAUUUAGGAAACCCUCUUUAAUCAAACACCUAACUUCACCCCAUUUUUACUACCCCAUCAUCAAAACCCCUAAUUCUACAGCUUCAAAAAUAUGAUACUCAAAAUUGAUAAUAAAAAAUUGAAGGAAAAAAUAAAAUACACUUUCCAGCUACUAGAUGCUCAUGCUUCUGCGACGAUGCCAUUCGUGAACAACAAACAAUCUAUAAAAGAAUUUCAAAAUCAACAAAUUCACAAUUUUAAUAUACGAAUGGUACAAUCCCAAGGCCAAAUAUAAGAAAAUAUUUUCCGAGAUUGCAAAAAUUUGGGACAAAAAAAAUUGAUAAUUUUUUAAAACAAAACAAAAAUUAAUACCUUAAAGCAACAAAGGAAUCGAAACAUAUGGGUUUCAAACAAAGAUAUCAUUGAAGAUGAUGACAGGUGAAGGAUGGAUAGGUGUUUUACCUCAAAAAUUAGGAUGGUAGGUGUUGGAUUAAAGAUGGCUUCUUUAAUGAUUUAAUUUAUGUUGAAUUUUUGAAUGAUUUUGAUGAUGAGAUGUGUUGUUGUUGAUGGUGGUGGUGUAGUUAUUAGAUGAUGAUGUGAUGAUAACGAUGCUGUUUAUGAUUGUUGUUUUUGGAUUUUUUUUUGAAUUUUUAAGAAUGUUGAUGAAGAUUGUGUUAGAGAUGAUCAAGAAGAAAUAAAGGAAGAAGAUGAAUAGUUUUUUUUUUUUUGGAUUGUUUGUCUUCUCUUUUUUUGGUUUAGGUCGCUCUAUGAAUUUUGUUUUUUUUGUAACAGAUGGAUAAUAUGGACCAAAACCACAAUGUUUAUAAGCAAAAAUAUGCGAACUUACAUAGACGAUUUAUCUAUUUAAGCCUAUUUUAAUUUGUAUCAGAGUUUGCUCAAAUUAAAUGAACGUUGUUCUCGAUAUAGAUCACUGCAACGAUCAUGAAACCUGGAACACCCAUUUAAGUAUUCAUAACAAAUUUUAGACAAAUAAACCAAAAGACCCAACAAAAAAUCAAUAAAAUUAGGUUCCUUCAAAGUUAUGGAAAAUUUGAAAUGAUAAACAAAAUUAAAUUGCAAAUAAUACCAAUAAAUCAAACAUGAAAACCAAGGAAAAAAUAUAAACAUCCGACAUGAACAAUGUAGUACUUGAGACAUGAAAAUACUCUGUUCUCUAAUUUUUUGACUCAAACCCUCAUUAGUUGAUGUCCUUAGAACAUCCACAAACUUAAAAUUCAGCAAUAAGUAUGUUCUUCACCUCGAUCAAACAAAAUAAAUCAUAGUUGAAGAUCAGUAAAAAGAAGACUGAACAUGAUCAUAUCUCUGCUUUUUCCUUUAAAGAAUACAUACUUCCUAAGAAGCCCCUCUUUUUGAAAACCAACUUUCUCAAGUACUUUUUGCGACCCAACAUUAUCCAUAUCAACAAGAGCUUGAAGCCUUUCCAAGGAUUGAAAUUCACUGAAUGCAACCUUAACCAUUUGUUUCACAGCACAUGUGGCAAUCCCUUUACCCCAAUAUUUAGAGGCUAGAACAUACCCAAUUUCUGCACAUCUGUUCCUACUCUUGUCAUAAAGUGAACUGGAGGACAACUUAAUACACCCAAUAGCAUGAUCGUUAUGGCAUAUUGCUUUGCAACGUAGAUACUUGCCUGCCAUAUUUUUGAUGAAGUUGAUGCCUUGGUCUUUGCUGGUGUAAGGUUCCCCCCAGAACUUGGCCACUUUUUCAUCAGUGUGCCACACCAUGAGAUCAUCGAGGUCAGAAAGAUUAAAAGAUCGGAGUGUGAUUUGGUUCAAAUCAAUGAUCUCUUCUUUGGAAGAAAUAGAAAGUCGCUCUAUCAUAAUAUUUUGCUCCAUCACAGCCCCCUGUGUUUCCUUAUCUAGGUUAGUUUUGAUUUAGAUCCAUGCAGGUGUUUAUUCCAAGGCUAUUUAUAAAUUUGUGGAAUCUAACUAAGCUCCAUCCGUCCGUAUAUCUAAACACUCUUUUCUUAAAUAUAAAGAGUGCUUACAUACAUACAAGGACGGAGGGAGUAUAUUAUAUUAUAAAGAAAAACAAUCCUUUUCAAUUCUUUCCAAAAAUGCCUUUAAUUUUCGGUACAAAUAACCAAUGUAACAUAUAAAAAUAAAUUUAAAUAUUAAAAAAAAAUGUGUAACAAAACUAGAUGAGUAAGUAUAUACUCACUUUUUAUAAUCCAAAUUAUAUCCUUAAACAAUUUUUUCCUAUAAUAAAGAUUGUUGUUGGUGUCAUUCAAAAAAUAAAAAUUUAGAUUAUAUUUUUUUGUUUUAUGGUUGGUAUCAUUGAAUUGUUAGUUUGUUUGUUACAAUUUAAAAGCAAAAAAUAUUUAUAUUUUUACUUUCAAUCAAAAUUAAAAUUUUAAAAAUAAAAAAUAAAAAAUACCGUUCAUAAUUUUCAAACGUUAGCGCAAUAAAAAGAGCGGAAAGACGGGCACGUGAAUAGCCAUAUUUUCGCUAGUAUGUAUGAAUAAAAUAACUUUUUUCCAGCUCUUUUGGGUUGGUUCGCUCUCUUUUAAAAAAUAACUUUAAUUUUUAAUACAAAUAACACAGGUAAUAAAUAGAUAAAAUUAAAUUUAAAUAUUAAAAUAAAAGUGUAACAAAUUAGUUGAGUGUAUCAAUACUUUUUUUUUAUUAUCUCAAUUAUACCUUUGAACAACAACUUUUCUAUAAUAAAGAUCGUUAUCAUGGUUAGUUUUUAUUUUUUUUGAAAGAUGAUAAUCAUGGUUAGUUUGAUCUGUUAUAAUUUGAAACCACACAUAUUUAUAUUUUGACUUUUAAUCAAAAUUAAAAUUUCAUAAAAAAAACAUUGUUCAUAACUUUCGAACGUUAGCGUAAUAGAAAGAACGGAAAGACGAGCACUUGUGUAUCCGUCUUUACGCUAGUUGAAAUAAAGAAAAACUAAGAUCGUCCACAACCCAUACGAAUAUACUACCCUUAGAUUGAAUAAAACUCCCCCGUACCUCAAAGUUUUGCAAAUCGAUGAAUUCAUACAGUUAAAUCUCUCUCUAAGUUUCUCUCUAGGCCUCUAUUCUCCACAACCCUAAUUUUUCCUCAUGCUAUCCUUUUCUCUUUCUUUUAUAAAACUAAUUCUCUAAUGCUCUUCUUUAUUUAUAAAGACUGUUUGGGCUUAUUUUUAUCACUUAAUCUUUGACAGACUUACUAUCUGCACCUCUAAUUUGCACCCUACUUCAUUAUUCUCGCCAAAAAUAUCAUUUUCUUCCUAAAACUUAUUUUCCCUAUCAGUUUUUUUCUUUUUUUUUAAUUCACUUUUUAAAGUGAAUAAGUGGGAUAUCCGGGUUCGAACCCCGCGCAUUGUCCCUCAGCCACCUAUGUUAUGUUCACGGGGACAUUUUCCCUCACUCUUUAAACAACAAAUUAACCUAUCUAUUUUAUCAUUACCUAUUCACCCAAUAAAUACAAAUAAUUAAAUUAAUAAUAUCAAACAAACCAAUACUAAUAAUAAUCCUAAUAUAUUAGUAUAUCAAAACAAAAGAUGGAAGAACCACUAUUAGCUGGUUGUACGUGUUUCUUUGUGCUUAGGUUUCUGACUUGUUUUAUAAAAGCAGAAGGGAAAAAAGAAGAAGAAAAAAAAAAGAAAAAAGAAAAAAAGGGAUUGUUUGCUAUGGAAGAUCAACCACAAGCAACUUUAAUCUAGACAUCAGUGACACAUAAGCAAAUCUUUGUCACUAUAAAAAAUGUAUCGAAGGACCAAAUUAAAAGCGAUUAAAAAUUACAGUUAAAAAUUAAAAAGAUUUAAAAUUAUAGCAACUAAAAUUCAAGUCACCGCCAUUAGUUUGUCAAAAAAACAAAAAAAAAGUCACCCCUGUUUUGCAAUGACCAUUUGCAUAAUUAUAUUUCCUCCGUCCCAAAUUGUAUGUAGCUUUAUGGAAAUUUUUUUGUUCCAAAUUAUAUGUCGCUUUACAAUACCAAUGCAACAUUAAUGUUACUUUUCCUAUUGUAACCUUAGUUAUUUAUUACUCUAUCUUUUUCAAUUCUUUCAUUUAUCUUUCCCAUAUUAUAUUAUUUAUUAAGGACAAUUUUGUAAAACAACUCAUAAUAUCUCUUUUCCGCACAAUAUUAAUUACAUUUCUUAAUAUGUGUGAAAUGCCUAAAACGUCAUACAAUUUAGGACGGAGGGAGUAGUAUUUAUUUUAUAGAACUCAUACAUAGAAAAACAAGUAUGGAAAAGUAUAUGGAUUAGACAAUGAGAACAAUUAGAAGAAGGCCUUUAGGUUAAUUGUGUCUUCAUUUGAAUUCCUAAUUUAAUUCUCUGUAUACACCUUUCCAACCAUCAAUGAUCAAGUCUUUAACAACUUUUUUAACAAAGCUUUACAAGACAUAGAUGGCUGAUAUCAAAGUAUGGAAAAAGUCCUCGUCUUGUUGAUGUUUUUGUCAGCUAUGUAGCUAAUUUUGAAAUCAUAUUCACCCGCUGAUGUUGUUUGUGUUGGGAUUUUAAGGGGGGUUUUUCAAAAUUUUAAUUUUCUUAGCGGAAGAAAUCUCAUUGAAACGAAUUUGAUAAAUCAUUAAUCACAAAUCAAAUACAUACUUAAAUCAUUAAUCGCAAAUCAAAUAUUUAUUUAACACUUUAAGGAUUCAUGUGUUUACCUCUUGAAACGCAAAACUUUUGCAGCAGAAUUGUUUCCGAUCACAAACAAAACAACGUAGCGAUGCUUCUACUCAAUCCACACGAACAGAACUUCUACGAUGAUGACCGGUGCUAGCCGAUUCCAACGGAGAUUAGAGAGAAUAAGGUUUAGAGAGCGGCGGCUAGGUUUAUAACUUUGUGAAUUAGGUUUAGCACUUCAACAACUAAGAUCCUUCCACACAAGGGUUCAAUUUAUAAAAUCACUUGUGUGGUCAAGCACUUAAAUACACCGUAUCUUAUGGUGCACCAUAUUUCACUAAACACAUACUUAAUUAUUUAAUUGGUCCUUCCUUAUUUAUAAAAAUAAAUAAGUCUUAUUUAUACCUCUAACUUGAGGUUAUGUUUGGAUAUUUCAGAUAGAGAACACUAAAAGAAACUGAAAUACCAUAAAGGAUUUCCAAACAAAUGAAUCAUAGUUGGAGAUCAGUAGAAAGAACACUGAAAAUAAUCAUAUCUCUGCUUUUUCCUUUCAUGACCAAAUACUUCCCAAGAGUUCCCUCCUUUUGGAAACCAGCUUUCUCCAAAACCCUUUGAGAUCCAACAUUUUCCACAUCAACAAAAGCUUCAACUCUUUCCAAGUGUGACAACUCACUGAAUGCAACCUUAACUACUUGUUUCACAACAUACGUGGCUAUUCCUUUACCCCAGUAUUUAGAGGCUAGAACAUAGGCAAGUUCUGCAGUUU